rnacentral:rRNA from 1 species
AUUGAACGCUGGCGGCAUGCCUUACACAUGCAAGUCGAACGGCAGCACGGGAGCAAUCCUGGUGGCGAGUGGCGAACGGGUGAGUAAAGUAUCGGAACGUGCCCAGUCGUGGGGGAUAACGUAGCGAAAGUUACGCUAAUACCGCAUACGAUCUAUGGAUGAAAGCGGGGGAUCGCAAGACCUCGCCCGAUUGGAGCGGCCGAUAUCAGAGUAGGUAGUUGGUGGGGUAAAGGCGCACCAAGCCGACGAUCUGUAGCUGGUCUGAGAGGACGACCAGCCACACUGGGACUGAGACACGGCCCAGACUCCUACGGGAGGCAGCAGUGGGGAAUUUUGGACAAUGGGCGAAAGCCUGAUCCAGCCAUGCCGCGUGCAGGAUGAAGGCCUUCGGGUUGUAAACUGCUUUUGUACGGAACGAAAAGGUUUGGCCUAAUAAGCUGAGCUCAUGACGGUACCGUAAGAAUAAGCACCGGCUAACUCUGUGCCAGCCGCCGCGGUAA